rnacentral:lncRNA from 1 species
UUAAAAUAUUUCCCCCCAAUACUGAAGAAUCUUAAACCAGGCUAGAGCGCCAGCGCUCCUCUGACCCGGCACACUUUGGCAAAGUUGCAGUGGCCUGUUUGCUUAGGCACUGAAGUGGAUGACCCAAGUUAGGAUGACAACUUGCAGAGAACGCGGAUGAGGCAACCCUAACAGAGAUUGCGAAGAUUUUCAAAGUGGGGCACCUCGAUUUCUCGAAUCUGUGGUGUGGCGAAUAUCCGUGUUCCUCCUGCUUAACUAGCCUGUUUGCAUCUUUUGACACAUUUUACUUCCGUAAUUUCGGACUGCCAGAAGGCACAGUUCAUUCUCGAGCAAUUCGUCACCUCCUGGGGGUCUUCUCUUCCCGUCUACAGGAGAGUGUGACUUCAGAAAGAACUUCGGAUUGGCCAAGGCCAUUAAAGCUGGUGAGCGACUUGGAAGUCAUUUAGAAAGGAACAGACCUUCAACCUCAAGCCUUUGCGGGCACUGGGAAAGUGUCUUCCCAAUCAAUCUGGCUUGCAGGCGGCAGGACCAACUCUGACCUGGCUUAUCUUGUACCCAUCCUAAAUACACCAAACUCAAGAGGUAGCCAGGGCCGCCUCAACACCGAGGCAGGUCUGAUUCUAUUUAUUCUAAAGACAGAGUUGGAGAUGGGCUACCAUUGGUGUUGAUUGAGAUGACAAGCAGUCACCUGAGCCCAUACAGCUGGGUUCACAGAUGUGGCUAGUCUUGCUAGCCAGCUCGCACUGUGGACAUUCUAGGGAACUGACUGCAGUCCUCAUGCUUGGAGUCAAACACUUUAACCACUGCACACGUUUAUGUAAUAGGAUUGACAUAUGAGAAUCAGAGAAAUGAAUGAAAGAUUAGAGAAGUGGGCGUGGCUGUGUGAGAGGGGGAAGUGGGCGUGACUACAAAAGGACAGCAAUGGAUUCCAGGCUCAAAGCAAACAAUUUGUAUUUAGCUGUGGCAGAACUGAUAACCUAGUUGUGAUAUUGUGUAACAGCACUGCUAAAGCUGGUGGGAGAAAGUGCUUGCUGCCAAGCUUGAUGACCUAAAUUGAAUACCUGGAACCUACACGACAGAAAGAGAGAGCUGACUGCUGAAAGAUGUCCUCAGAUCUUCACAUGUGCACAGUGGCACCUAUCCA